rnacentral:misc_RNA from 1 species
UCCGGCGUAAUCACCGGCCAGUCCGAUCCGAACAGCAUCUUGUCCUGCAAAAUGGUGUUGACGUAGCGCACCAGGAUCGGCGGGAAAUAUUUCGGCGACCAGCCGGAGAGGUCGAUGUAGACGUUCGGCUUGUGGGUUGCGACCGACAGCGCUUCUUCCUGCCAGGGAAAGGACGGAUGCGCGAGAAUGAUCUUCAUGUCGGGGAAAUCAACCGCGACAUCGUCGAUGUACAUCGGGUUGGAAUAUUUCAGCCGCAUCCCGUUGCCGCC